UACGUAGGGGGCAAGCGUUGUCCGGAAUCAUUGGGCGUAAAGCGCGUGUAGGCGGUCCGGUAAGUCCGCUGUGAAAGUCGGGGGCUCAACCCUCGGAUGCCGGUGGAUACUGUCGGGCUUGAGUACGGAAGAGGCGAGUGGAAUUCCUAGUGUAGCGGUGAAAUGCGCAGAUAUCAGGAGGAACACCAAUUGCGAAGGCAGCUCGCUGGGACGUUACUGACGCUGAGACGCGAAAGCGUGGGGAGCAAACAGG
rnacentral:rRNA from 1 species